UACGUAGUUAGCCGGCGCUUCUUAUCCAGCUACCGUCAACCCACCCACAAAAGGGGCAGGCCUGCUUCACUGGCGAAAGAGGUUCACAACCCGAAGGCCUCCAUCCCUCACGCGGCGUCGCUGCAUCAGGCUUGCGCCCAUUGUGCAAUAUUCCCCACUGCUGCCUCCCGUAGGAGUCUGGGCCGUGUCUCAGUCCCAGUGUGACCGUCCACCCUCUCAGGCCGGCUACCCGUCACCGCCUUGGUAGGCCAUCACCCCACCAACAAGCUGAUAGGCCGCGAGCCCAUCCCCCACCAAAAACACCCAAAGGCGCAAUCUUUCCCAGGCCUACCAUGCGACAGACCCCAGAAUAUCCCGUAUUAGCCACACUUUCAUGCGGUUAUCCAGAAGAAGGGGCAGGUUACUCACGUGUACUCACCCGUUCGCCACUCAUCCAGGACCCACCAAAGCAGGCCCCUUCACCGUUCGACUUGCAUGUGUUAAGCACGCCGCCAGCGUCGUACCUCGAGCCACGG
rnacentral:rRNA from 1 species